GACGAACGCUGGCGGCGUGCUUAACACAUGCAAGUCGAACGGAAAGGCCCUGCUUUUGUGGGGUGCUCGAGUGGCGAACGGGUGCGUAACACGUGAGUAACCUGCCCUUGACUUUGGGAUAACUUCAGGAAACUGGGGCUAAUACCGGAUAGGAGCUCCUGCUGCAUGGUGGGGGUUGGAAAGUUUCGGCGGUUGGGGAUGGACUCGCGGCUUAUCAGCUUGUUGGUGGGGUAGUGGCUUACCAAGGCUUUGACGGGUAGCCGGCCUGAGAGGGUGACCGGCCACAUUGGGACUGAGAUACGGCCCAGACUCCUACGGGAGGCAGCAGUGGGGAAUAUUGCACAAUGGGCGGAAGCCUGAUGCAGCAACGCCGCGUGCGGGAUGACGGCCUUCGGGUUGUAAACCGCUUUCGCCUGUGACGAAGCGUGAGUGACGGUAAUGGGUAAAGAAGCACCGGCUAACUACGU
rnacentral:rRNA from 1 species